UACGAAGGGGGCUAGCGUUGCUCGGAAUCACUGGGCGUAAAGGGCGCGUAGGCGGGUCUUUUAAGUCAGGGGUGAAAUCCUGGAGCUCAACUCCAGAACUGCCUUUGAUACUGGCGAUCUCGAGUCCGGGAGAGGUGAGUGGAACUGCGAGUGUAGAGGUGAAAUUCGUAGAUAUUCGCAAGAACACCAGUGGCGAAGGCGAGUUCCUGGACAGUUACUGACACUGAGGCACGAAAGCGUGGGGAGCAAACAGG
rnacentral:rRNA from 1 species